UACGUAGGGUGCAAGCGUUGUCCGGAAUUAUUGGGCGUAAAGAGCUCGUAGGCGGUCUGUCGCGUCUGCUGUGAAAACUCAGGGCUUAACCCUGAGCUUGCAGUGGGUACGGGCAGACUAGAGUGCGGUAGGGGAGACUGGAAUUCCUGGUGUAGCGGUGAAAUGCGCAGAUAUCAGGAGGAACACCGGUGGCGAAGGCGGGUCUCUGGGCAACAACUGACGCUGGAGGCACGAAAGCGUGGGGAGCGAACAGG
rnacentral:rRNA from 1 species